GCAGUUUCUAUCUUGAUGAACUGCAUCAAAAUAUGCGGACUGACUGUAAUUCCUCUUCACCAGAAAGUAAGUUGAGAGCUUGAGGCCUCUAAGAAAUUUCAGAAAGGUACUCCAACUGAAAUUGUAGCAGAGAUUCCUAAAGGAUGAGAUAUAGUUGAUAAGAUUACAGCCAAAGCCAGCAUGACCUGACACUGUCACACCAUGAAAAGAAAAUAAGUUCUCCCAUGCCUCACAUUUUCUACUGCUAGAAAACCUGGGUUUGCAGGCUGACUCAUCUCCAAGCUGAAGAGCUGAUCAAUUAGCAGGUACUCUUUG
rnacentral:lncRNA from 1 species